UCGGAACAGGUGGCUUCAUGGUCAAUGAU
rnacentral:piRNA from 1 species